CCUAACACAUGCAAGUCGAGGGGCAUCGGGAUUGAAGCUUGCUUCAAUUGCCGGCGACCGGCGCACGGGUGCGUAACGCGUAUGUAACCUACCUAUAACAGGGGCAUAACACUGAGAAAUUGGUACUAAUUCCCCAUAAUAUUCGGAGAGGCAUCUCUCCGGGUUGAAAACUCCGGUGGUUAUAGAUGGACAUGCGUUGUAUUAGCUAGUUGGUGAGGUAACGGCUCACCAAGGCAACGAUACAUAGGGGGACUGAGAGGUUAACCCCCCACACUGGUACUGAGACACGGACCAGACUCCUACGGGAGGCAGCAGUGAGGAAUAUUGGUCAAUGGACGCAAGUCUGAACCAGCCAUGCCGCGUGCAGGAAGACGGCUCUAUGAGUUGUAAACUGCUUUUGUACGAGGGUAAACUCACCUACGUGUAGGUGACUGAAAGUAUCGUACGAAUAAGGAUCGGCUAACUCCGUGCCAGCAGCCGCGGUAAUACGGAGGAUUCAAGCGUUAUCCGGAUUUAUUGGGUUUAAAGGGUGCGUAGGCGGUUUGAUAAGUUAGAGGUGAAAUCCCGGGGCUUAACUCCGGAACUGCCUCUAAUACUGUUAGACUAGAGAGUAGUUGCGGUAGGCGGAAUGUAUGGUGUAGCGGUGAAAUGCUUAGAGAUCAUACAGAACACCGAUUGCGAAGGCAGCUUACCAAACUAUAUCUGACGUUGAGGCACGAAAGCGUGGGGAGCAAA
rnacentral:rRNA from 1 species